CUGACAUGCAACUUCCACUAUAUUAAAAAAUAGUGAAUAAACUCUUAGGAAGGUAGCUUCUCAGACUGCAGAUAGAAAACUGGGCAGAACAGAGCUUUAAGCUCUUCUGAUACAGUAAAUCACUGUUUGCAAAACACCUAAUUUUAAGAGGAUAAUUAAAAGAGAAACCUGUAAAGGCAACAUUCCUUCAAGCGAGUUGGUACUGCAACGUGCUGGGCACUGAUCCUGCAAGUGACUCUGUAAGAGAAGACUACUACAACGGAGUCCCAUUGACUUGGAGGAUAUGGGCCUCCAUUUAUGAG